AUUUGAUCCUAAACACUCAACCUAAACUCUACACCCUAAAUCCCAAAACCUAAAAUCCAACCCCUAAACCCUAACCCU
rnacentral:sRNA from 1 species